rnacentral:misc_RNA from 1 species
UUACACAUGUUCAUUAUAUUCUUUGUUAUUUGAAUAAUUUGUUUUCCAUUGUAAUUAUGGGUUUUUUUUUUCCUCCUAUCAAAAAGAAAAUGAAAGGAAAAGAAAAGAAAAGAAAGGAAAGGAAAGGGCAAAUAUUUGCCAUCAAUUUCCCUGGAAACUUCAGUUGUUGAUUUUAUUGUUGCCAUUGGUAUUGCUGAUGGUAGUAGAUAUGCUGCCACUGGUAUUGCUGAUGGUUAUGAGGUUGGUGCUAGAAGUAGUAGAACUACUAGUUAUGUUGCUGGGUUGAGCGCCACCACCACCAAUUAUUGAGGUAAUUGCAGCUGCCAAAGCUGCAGUGAAGUUGGGAUCAGCUGCAA